CGCCUCUCAGGAUCAUACCUGGAGAGUUUCCAGUCCUCUACCAGUCUCGGUUAAGGGAGGGAGAGUCAAGCAGAGGCCUACCCAUUCUAUUCCUAGCUUGGCCAGUGGCUAGCGAAUGGAAGGCACCCUGCUACAAGU